rnacentral:rRNA from 1 species
GACGGGGGCCCGCACAAGCGGAGGAACAUGUGGUUUAAUUCGAUGAUACGCGAGGAACCUUACCCGGGCUCGAACGGCUGGUGAACAAUCCAGAGAUGGUGCGGUCCUUCGGGACGCCAGUCGAGGUGCUGCAUGGUUGUCGUCAGCUCGUGCCGUGAGGUGUCGGCUCAAGUGCCAUAACGAGCGCAACCCUUGCCGUCAGUUACCAUCAAGUAGUGUUGGGGACUCUGGCGGGACUGCCACCGCAAGGUGUGAGGAAGGGGGGGAUGACGUCAAAUCAGCACGGCCCUUACGUCCGGGGCGACACACGUGUUACAAUGGCGGCCACAGAGGGGCACUACCUGGUGACAGGAUGGGAAUCUCGAAAAGCCGUCUCAGUCCGGAUCGGAGUCUGCAACCCGACUCCGUGAAGCUGGAUUCGCUAGUAAUCGCGCAUCAGCCAUGGCGCGGUGAAUACGUUCCCGGGCCUUGUACACACCGCCCGUCAAGCCAUGAAAGUCUGGGGCGCCUGAAGUCCGUGACCGAGAGGAGCGGCCUAGGGCGAAACAGGUAAUUGGGGCUAAGUCGUAACAAGGUAG